rnacentral:rRNA from 1 species
UUGUUGGUAAGGUAAAAGCUUACCAAGGCUUCGAUCAGUAGCUGGUCUGAGAGGACGACCAGCCACACUGGGACUGAGACACGGCCCAGACUCCUACGGGAGGCAGCAGUGGGGAAUUUUGGACAAUGGGGGCAACCCUGAUCCAGCCAUGCCGCGUGAGUGAAGAAGGCCUUCGGGUUGUAAAGCUCUUUCAGCCGGAACGAAACGGUUACGGUUAAUACCCGUGACUACUGACGGUACCGGAAGAAGAAGCACCGGCUAACUACGUGCCAGCAGCCGCGGUAAUACGUAGGGUGCGAGCGUUAAUCGGAAUUACUGGGCGUAAAGCGUGCGCAGGUGGUUUUGUAAGUCGGAUGUGAAAGCCCCGGGCUCAACCUGGGAACUGCGUUUGAAACUACAAGACUAGAGUGUGGCAGAGGGGGGUGGAAUUCCGCGUGUAGCAGUGAAAUGCGUAGAGAUGUGGAGGAACACCGAUGGCGAAGGCAGCCCCCUGGGUCAACACUGACGCUCAGGCACGAAAGCAUGGGGAGCAAACAGGAUUAGAUACCCUGGUAGUCCAUGCCCUAAACGAUGUCAACUAGUUGUCGGGCCUUUACGGGCUUGGUAACGUAGCUAACGCGUGAAGUUGACCGCCUGGGGAGUACGAUCGCAAGAUUAAAACUCAAAUGAAUUGACGGGGACCCGCACAAGCGGUGGAUUAUGUGGAUUAAUUCGAUGCAACGCGAAAAACCUUACCUACCCUUGACAUGUAUCGAAGCCCGCAGAAAAGCGGGGGUGCCCGAAAGGGAACGAUAACACAGGUGCUGCAUGGCUGUCGUCAGCUCGUGUCGUGAGAUGUUGGGUUAAGUCCCGCAACGAGCGCAACCCUUGUCAUUAAUUGCCAUCAUUUAGUUGGGCACUUUAAUGAGACUGCCGG